AUCAUAGUGGGGAUGGUGGUCAUAGUGGCAGCAAUUAUGACAGUGAUGCUGGUGAUGAAGCAGUGCUGCUGCUGAUGUGGCCAUAAUGGUGACAGCCGCAGUGUUGUUGGUAGUGUGGUGACAGCAGGAGUCGUGCCAAUUAUGUUGGCAAUGGUGAUGGCAAUAACGACGGUGGUAGUUAAGGUAGUUUUAGUGGCAAUGAUGGGGAUGCUGGCAGUGAUGGUUAUACUGAUGGUGACAAAGCCUCAGUAUGAUACUGAAGGGUUAGCAGAAGAACUGAGUUCACACACCUGAGCCAUACAGGUGCAUCAUGGACAAAAGAAAAAGACAACGCAUAUGACA